rnacentral:rRNA from 1 species
UGGGGAAUAUUGCACAAUGGGCGCAAGCCUGAUGCAGCCAUGCCGCGUGUAUGAAGAAGGCCUUCGGGUUGUAAAGUACUUUCAGCGGGGAGGAAGGGAGUAAAGUUAAUACCUUUGCUCAUUGACGUUACCCGCAGAAGAAGCACCGGCUAACUCCGUGCCAGCAGCCGCGGUAAUACGGAGGGUGCAAGCGUUAAUCGGAAUUACUGGGCGUAAAGCGCACGCAGGCGGUUUGUUAAGUCAGAUGUGAAAUCCUCGGGCUCAACCUGGGACCUGCAUCUGAUACUGGCAAGCUUGAGUCUCGUAGAGGGGGGUAGAAUUCCAGGUGUAGCGGUGAAAUGCGUAGAGAUCUGGAGGAAUACCGGUGGCGAAGGCGGCCCCCUGGACAAAGACUGACGCUCAGGUGCGAAAGCGUGGGGAGCAAACAGG